UGCCAGCCGCCGCGGUAACACGUAGGCAUCAAGCGUUAUCCGGAUUUAUUGGGCGUAAAGAGCUCGUAGGCUGUUCGGUAAGUCGGGUGUGAAAACUCUGGGCUCAACCCAGAGAGGCCACUCGAUACUGCUGUGACUAGAGUGCGGUAGGGGAGCGGGGAAUUUCUGGUGUAGCGGUGAAGUGCGCAGAUAUCAGAAGGAACACCAGUGGCGAGGGCGGCUCACUGGCUCGAUACUGACGCUGAGGUGCGAAAGUGUGGGGAGCAAACAGGAUUAGAUA
rnacentral:rRNA from 1 species